ACGAACGCUGGCGGCGUGCUUAACACAUGCAAGUCGAACGGUGAAGCUCCAGCUUGCUGGAGUGGAUCAGUGGCGAACGGGUGAGUAACACGUGAGCAACCUGCCCCUGACUCUGGAAUAAGCGCUGGAAACGGCGUCUAAUACUGGAUACGAGAAGGGUCCGCAUGGGCACUUUCUGGAAAGUUUUUCGGUUGGGGAUGGGCUCGCGGCCUAUCAGCUUGUUGGUGAGGUAAUGGCUCACCAAGGCGACGACGGGUAGCCGGCCUGAGAGGGCGACCGGCCACACUGGGACUGAGACACGGCCCAGACUCCUACGGGAGGCAGCAGUGGGGAAUAUUGCACAAUGGGCGGAAGCCUGAUGCAGCGACGCCGCGUGAGGGAUGACGGCCUUCGGGUUGUAAACCUCUUUCAGCAGGGAAGAAGCGAAAGUGACGGUACCUGCAGAAGAAGCACCGGCUAACUACGUG
rnacentral:rRNA from 1 species